rnacentral:tRNA from 1 species
GGCCCGUUCUUCUAGCGGUUCAGGAAGCCGGCCCCUCAAGCCGGUAACGCGGGUUCAAAUCCCGCACGGGUCA